UUUUGCGAAUUAGGAGGGAAUCCACGAAAUUUGCAACCCUCGAAAAAAACCACUUAUACAGUAAAUUUUGGUAGCUUUAGUGACGGGUUUGGGGCGUGGCUUCUAGUUGCUAUGACGACAGCGAAUGUGAUGCUUUUGUGGAUUAAGAAAAAAGACGUAUACAAAGUCUUUUGGAUGCUUCUCCUCCUCCUCCUUUGACUCCACCCACUUCAUCAUUAACUGACAGGAAAUACACUGAUACUUCCUUACUGCCGUUUUCUAAAAUACAAUUCCAGCUGAACAAGGUCAGACUUAUGCAUCAGAAGUUAAUGCCAUAUUUGGAGAGACUAGUGCCCUCACUGCUAGGAAUGCUGAGGAAAUGUUCAUUGAAAUA